GAUGAACGCUGGCGGCGUGCUUAACACAUGCAAGUCGAACGGGAAACCUUUUAUUGAAGCUUCGGCAGAUUUCGCUGGUUUCUAGUGGCGGACGGGUGAGUAACGCGUGGGUAACCUGCCUUAUUCAGGGGGAUAACAACCAGAAAUGGUUGCUAAUACCGCAUAAGCGCACACGACCGCAUGGUCCGGUGUGCACAACUCCGGUGGUAUAAGAUGGACCCGCGUUGGAUUAGCUAGUUGGCAGGGUAACGGCCUACCAAGGCGACGAUCCAUAGCCGGCCUGAGAGGGAGAACGGCCACAUUGGGACUGAGACACGGCCCAGAAUCCUACGGGAGGCAGCAGUGGGGAAUAUUGCACAAUGGGGGAAACCCUGAUGCAGCGACGCCGCGUGAAGGAAGAAGUAUCUCGGUAUGUAAACUUCUAUCAGCAGGGAAGAUAGUGACGGUACCUGACUAAGAAGCCCCGGCUAACUACGUG
rnacentral:rRNA from 1 species